GCCACCGCCCCGCUCCUGAAAAAAUCCCACCCAAACAAACAGCGAACGGGCUCGAUCCGCCGCCGCGAAGCCCGAGCAUAACCAGAGCAUCGGCAGCAGCAGAGCGGUGCUUGGCUUUUGUCUCCGUACGCCUUCUUCCGUUCCUUCCAAACUUUUGGACGCUCUCUCCGAGCUGUAUUUAUAGACCUGGAGCACACGGCUGUAUUUUUCCUUAUGCCUCCUUUGGCUUGGGCUUAAGUCACUGACGGGGAAAAUAAAAAAGGCGGCAGGCAGGCGGGCAGACAAACGGGAGGACAGAAGGGGGAAAGCUGGAAGUCCCGCAGGCGGGACGCGAAGGGAGGCUGGGGCAGGAGGCCGGAGGUGCGGGACUUGCUUGCUCCUAUUAGGCGAUAGAGAGGUAAGGGUGAAAGUCCGGCACCGGCUCCCUGCGCGGAGAAAGGAAAGCCUCUUGCCCCGGGAAAGAGACAGGCCAGGACUGCUGCCCCAUCCCGGUGCAGAGGAACCGAAUCAAGAAGAGCUUGUGUUUGUGUCCGCAGGAGGGGAGUGGGCGGCGGGGGAAGGAGAGGGGGGCACACACCACGCAAAGUUUGUGUCGUAGAACCAGAUGAAAAUAAGCCUGCAACUAAACAAGCCCUCUUUUUCCACACGGUGGAUGCUGAGAGACUCUAAUCAAAUAUCUCAGUAACGUGGAUGGUGCAAUUAUCAUGUUGUUAGGCAUUCCCUUAUUGAGGUGCACCACACUUAGCGUCUGAUCUCCGAAAUAUACGUCAAAGCAGUUCCUCAGUUUCUGACAUGUUUAGAGAGCCUGUCCUGCAGGUAUAUUUUGUCAGCACUUGGUGAACAGUUCCAGGGAGUUCCAUAUGCACUUGAUAAACAGCACUAAAAAUGUGAAUCCGAUUCAAAUAUCAGUUCAAUAGACUUGUUCCCCCCUCUUUCCCCUCCUUACUCCUCCCUUCCCAGUUGCAGUUCUGCAGCCACUGUUGCGGUUACAGAGCAACAUUUAAACGCUGUAAAGUGCGUUUAAAUGUUCUUCUACCCUGCCCCCUUCCCUCCAGCGUCCGCCGAGGAGUUCCAGAUGACGUUACUUCUGUGUCCAUUUUAAAAACCUCUCUCGGUAUUCAGCUACAAACCAUCCAACCUAAAAGCAAAUAGUGUUAUAAGGGGACAUAACAAAGUAGGAGAGAAGGGAGGGGAAGGGCGAUACACACUUCUAUCAAAUGAUGCUUCCCAAAGAGAGAAUUACAUUGAUCUAGAUUUUAAAAGCUUGUAUCCUUGAGGUCAUAAUGCUGUACACAUUUCUAUGCACGCACAGCUAUAGUCUGAGGUGUAGGGGUUAUUACAAGAGUUUUCAACUGCAGUCAUGGCUGCAGAUUUAGAAAGUUCUUUUACCAGUUGCGUCUGGACACCCGCAUGCAUUAGCAAAACCACUGCAUUGAAUCAAGUGCCUGAACACUGCAGUCUUCUUCACAGGAUUUUCUGUACCACCAGAGUAUAGCCGGGUAGGAUGCCCUCCUUGGCCAGAGGCCAGCAGCUGAACGAAGUCAAGUGAAUAAAAUAAGUACAAAGUAGGGCUCUUUGCAAAACGAGGGUGAAAUGCACGUACAGGGAGCAUCUAGAAAAGAUGAACAUCCGAGUUUUGUAGCUCCAAAUCAUUACAUUCUCGGUAACAGAACACCAUCAUUAUUCACGAGUGAAAGCGACAAAAUCCUGGUCAUAUGGUGAUUAUGAGGACCAAUAACGUCUUUGCUAUAAAAAUAGUGUUUGUUAUGAAGAAAUUGGGUAAGCAGCCAUCCAGAUAAAUACACCCUGUGCCUAGCAAGCCUACUGUCUUCGUGAUGUUUUGUGUGUUGCCAACCGCUCGUCGUUUUUCAACAGUUGUGGGCUUUUUUCCCCCUUGUAAUUAUGCGCAUUGUUUCCCACUUACUCUAAUUUCAAGCACUAAGGCUCCGAAAUUGUACAGAGAAGUAAAAGCAAGGUUAUCUCUUCCUGCUUGUGCACUCAGAUAAAUUCGAUACCGACUAUUGCUGUGCAGUAACAUCGUGUGAUUCUGCAGAGCCCACUCAAACAUUAGAGCCUCCAAUUCCUCUCUAUUUUUAAUUCACCUUAGUUGCCUUUUGAUGCUUUUUUUUUUGAAGAACAGUGAUCAAUUAUUUUUACAGUGCAACACUGACGUUGUUCUUCAAGUUAGGCGCCUUUCAUUUGUAUCUGUAUUUACUUCUCUGUUACAACAUCCCGCGGGACCGGUGUAUUUAAAACAAGAGGACGGGCACGCGCCCAGGGAGCCACGGAGAGCCCCGGGAGCUCGGGGGCAGCGGGGUCGCGCCGCGGCACAGACGGCGGGCUGCAGCCCGCACCGGCGCUUCCCAGCGAGGGCAGCGCCGACCUGGGCACCCGGCGGCACAGCGCUCCUCGCAGAGGCCGCCGCGCUGGAACAUAAAGCCCCCAUAAAGAGGCUAGACACAAAGCCAGGAGCCCACAAACACAGUUUGGGGAUGAUGGGUAGCUGGAGGACGUGCAUCAGGUGUUCACCACGGGAGCCUUCGGGAAGAUUGAUUCCAACGCCGCGUUAUACUCGCUGCCGAUGAGACGGGUGCGGGCGGCCGGGUUUGGCCAGGGCGACGGGCCCCGCGCACCUCCUCGCCAUCGCCCUCCGAGGCCGCCUUUUCGCACACGCAUAACCAACGCCUCCGGGAGCGUGGGGGAAUCCUCCCCUGACCUUACAGACCACUUCCCGCCCACUCAGGCCGGCGGGAUUCCUGCGGUCUCCGCCGCCGACCCGCCAGCGGCACUUGGCUGUCCCGGGGCAGUGCCCAAGCCCUCCUUUUCAUCCACGGACCGUCUCGAGGCUUUCCCGCAUUUAAUCGUGCACGCCGGCGGAAUCAGACCGCGCUGCCAAAGCCGGCGGGCGAGCCGCAGCAGUUUCCCGGCGGGGGCCAGCGGCAGACGCUCCCUCCGCCGGGGCGGGAACGCCGGCCGCACCC